rnacentral:lncRNA from 1 species
GGCCGGUGGCGCUUGCUGAGGGGAGCAAGGGGGAAGCCUCCACAAGGUGUCACGUCGCUCUCUGUCCCCUCAGGUUCCACCCAAGACACCAGUAUUUAGUUAGCAUAUUGUCUCUUGGGGAAAGGUGGAUAAGCACCAAGCCCUCUUCCUCCUUUUCAAAUAAUGGCUUGUAAGAAGCACAUUGAAAUAGGAAAAUUUCUCUGCCCCUCCCUCCCUUUUUGCCAACUGUCACCGUAAGUACAUUUUAUUUCUGCAUUAAUGUGGCUUUUUGUCAUAGCAUUCUGUGCCAUCUUUAUUUUCAUAUUGUACAUUUUAAAAUCUGUGGUUUCUAAUUGUUUUAAUUAAUUUCUUUUUGUUGUAAGGAACAAAGUCAUUCCCGUUGACUCAAGUGGUGGGCAUUUUAUUUUAAGAAUGAAUGUGCAAAAGAGGAAACAUGAAUCUCAUCUACCAGUAGGCCAGGCAUCAUGUCAGUCCUAUGAGAAGUCCUCAAAAAGAGCUGGAACUGUUGUAGAUUUGGGCCUCCCAGGCAUGAGAAGCAAACCAAACCAAACAAACGAAAAGAUCAGAAGCAAAUGCACUAUCAGUGUGGGACUCUUCAUUCUAUACUUUAUUAACGUGUG